rnacentral:rRNA from 1 species
AGUGAACGCUGGCGGCAGGCCUAACACAUGCAAGUCGAACGGUAACACAAUAAGAGCUGGUUCUUAGCGGAGGCGAGGCGCGGACGUGUGUAGUAUCCAUCGGACUCCAUUUUUUCGUGGGAGAUCAACUGGGGACAGUAACGCAUACACCGCAUAGUAGCUAGGGGAGAGAGGGGGAGCUCCUGGGACCUUGCGCGAUUGUGUGCCCCGAUGUCGGAUUAGAGAGUUGGUGGGGUAAAGGCCCCCCAAGGGGACGAUCCGUAGCUGGUGUGAGAGGAUGAGCAGCCACACUGGAACUGAGACACGGUCCAGACUCCUACGGGAGGCAGCAGUGGGGAAUAUUGGACAAUGGGCGCAAGCCUGAUCCAGCCAUGCCGCGUGGAUGAAGAAGGCCUUCGGGUUGUAAAGCCCUUUUAGCGGGGAAGAAGGGCAUCAGGUUAAUACCCCGCUGUAUUGACGGUACCCGAAGAAGAAGCACCGGCUAACUUCGUG